CUGCUCCCAGCCACCGCCCCGCACCCGGCCCUGCCUCCAGCGCCUAGCCCCGCUCCCCCGGCUGGUCUCUGGGCUCCGCAGGGCGACCGCGUUCCGUUCAUCGCCACGCCUGGGGCUCGCUCCGGAGCCAGGUCCGGCCCGCUGCCCACAAAUGGGGACAGCGCACGAUCUCGUUGUUGCCGAGUAACGGGGGCGCGGCUGGACGGUAGCCGCAGAGGGACACGCCCGACCCUGCCCGAGCAGCGCUCUUGGGGCGGGGCCGGACCCUGGCCAGUGGAGGCCCCGCACCCCGGUCCGGAAGUGUCGCGUCAGGACCCCCAGCGUCCGGACUAGCGUCAGCGACAUGGAGUCACCGGUGCUGAGGAGCCCGGAAGAGAUAGCAGCGCUGUACCGCGAGCUCAGCCAGUGCCCCUCGCUCUGCAGUGCCUGCAUCGGGCCCGAGGUCACCACUCAGUAUGGGGGCAAAUACUGCAAUGUCUAUACAGAGUGGUCUCAGCAGGACCUGGAGAGAGCUGAGAGCGUGAAGUUCUGCCGCCAAUACCUCAUCUUCCAUGACAGCCAGGCCAUCGUGUACUCUGGCCCCUCGGGCACCUGCAGUGAGAUCAAGGGAGAGCAGCUGAGCAGGGAAUCUCCCAGUGGGGCACUUAAGGCCGUUUUGCGGAAAGCCAGCCCUGGCAAAGGCGAGGAGAAGCAGUUCCUUGAGAUCUGGGAUCAGAAUCGCAAGGUGAAGAGCAUCAACCUGACGGUGCUGGAGAAGCAUGGCAAUGUCUAUGAGGAUGAUCAGUUUGGCUGCUUGUCCUGGUCGCACUCGGAGACUCACCUGCUUUACGUGGCCGAGAGGAAACGGCCCAAGGCCGAGUCCUUCUUCCAGAGCAGAGCCUCGGAGCUGAGCAGCGGCUGUGCUGAUGAGAGACGCGACAAGGCUGUCAAGGGGGAGCAGUUCGUGUACCACGAUGACUGGGGCGAGGCGCUGGUGGGCAAGAGCAUCCCGGCCCUAUGCGUGCUGGACGUGGAGAGUGGCAAUGUCUCGGUGCUGGAGGGUGUCCCGGAGCACAUCUCCCCUGGGCAGGCUUUCUGGUCCCCUGGUGACACGGGUGUGGUGUUCAUAGGCUGGUGGCAUGAGCCCUUCCGCUUGGGCCUGCGGCACUGCACUAACCGCAGGUCAGCGCUGUUCUAUGUGGACUUGACGGGAGCAAGGUGUGAGCUGCUGUCAGAUGACACCAAAGCUGUGUGGUCCCCACGCCUGAGCCCUGACCAGUGCCGCAUCGUGUACCUGGAGAAUGGCGUACUCGGGCCCCACCAGCAGUGCAGCCGCCUCCGCGUGAAAGGAGGGGACAGCAUUGCAGAACAGAGUCCCAUGCUGAGUGCCCCCGGCCAUCUCUUGCAGUAUGACUGGUACACGAAGAUCACCUCCACCGUGCUGGAUGUCAUGCCCCGGCACAGCCAGGGAACGUUCACAGGGAUCUAUUGCCCGGCGCUGCCGGGCCUGUGCUGGGCAGCCGAUAGCCAGAGGGUCGUCCUGGACACCGCUCAGCGCAGCCGACAGGAGUUGCUUGUGGUGGAGAUGCUGGGUGGCAGCGUGACCUCCCUGACGACAGGUGCCCCCCUGGGCAGCUGGUCUCUGCUCACCAUUGACCGGGAUCUCCUGGUGGCCAGGUUCUCAACCCCCAGCUGCCCCCCCACAUUGAAGGUGGCCUUCCUCCCCAGGGCUGGGCGGGAGGCCCAGGUGCACUGGGUGUGUCUGGAGGAUGUGACCCCCAUCCCGGAGAUCAGCUGGGUGAUCCGGCCCCUGCAGCCCCCCCCGGACCAGGAGAACCCGAAGUACAAGGGUAUCGAUUUCGAAGCCAUCCUGCUACAGCCCAGCAAGGGGCUAGGGCCGAGGAAGCUGCCCCUGGUGGUCAUGCCCCAUGGAGGCCCACACUCCGUCUGCACGGCCAGCUGGAUGUUGUACCCUGCGGCGCUCUGCAGGAUCGGCUUCGCCGUGCUCCUGGUGAAUUACCGCGGUUCGCUGGGCUUUGGCCAGGACAGCGUCGCCUCCCUGCCCGGCCACGUGGGCUGCCAGGAUGUCAAAGACGUACAGUACUGCGUGGAGCAGGUGCUGCAGGAGGAGCCCCUAGACUCAGCGCGGGUGGCAGUAGUGGGUGGCUCACAUGGGGGCUUCCUUGCUUGCCACCUCAUCGGCCAGUACCCGAGCACCUACCAGGCCUGUGUGGCAAGGAACCCAGUCGUCAACAUGGCCUCCAUGAUCAGCGGCACUGACAUCCCAGACUGGUGUCUGACUGAGGCCGGCUUUCCCUAUGCACCCAACACCCUCCCGGAUGCCUCCCACUGGGCAGAGAUGCUCCACAAGUCACCCAUGCAAUACAUCGCCCAGUGCUGGCUGUGGGACCCAGGUCUCUGCACUGCUUUCCCUACAGGUCCGGGCACCUGUGCUCCUGAUGCUGGGAGAAGAGGAUAGGCGUGUCCCCCCCAAGCAGGGGCUGGAGUACUACCGUGCUCUCAAGGCCAGGGGCGUUCCUACCCGGCUGCUGAUGUACCCUAGGAACAGCCAUGCGCUCUCUGGCAUCGAGGCUGAGGCCGACGGCUUUAUGAACAUGGCGCUCUGGCUGCUCCAGCACCUGCAGUGCUGACGGGCUGUGCUCCGCAUCUGCGAGCCCUGUAACCUGUUUCCAAUAAAC